UUACAUUGACUUCUUACAAGAAGUAAGCUAACCUAUUUGAUUUGAUAUGGUAAGCUGAGGUAUAUAUCAUUUCAUUUAUUUUCUACCUCUUUAAUCUUUUUCUCUGGUGUUGAUUGAACUUGUCAAUUUGUGCAACUUGGUUACAGUUGUAUCAAUUUGGAAAGAUAUGUAAUUUGAAUUCUGAACUCAGGCUCAAGAACUUUAUUGUAUGUGCACAGUUGUGUUUCAAAGGAGACAGGGGUUGUAAUAAAUUUUGGUUUAGAUAUGAGUUUGUGUUUAUGUUCUGGAAAUCAGACGACAGGGAUCAGACGCUAUGAGUUUGUGUUUAUUUUUUAUUUAUGUCUGGUAUCUCCGUUCUUGCUUAAUCGCUAUGGGCUUUCUGAAAUUGUGGAAAUUUUAAGGAAGGAAGAGGCAAUUUAGACGCGCAAUAGAGCAAUUGCCCAACUUGGAGAAGCAGAUGACUUGUGGUAGAUCUCCUCCUCCAUUUCUCUCUCUUCUUCAUCUUCGCUGCAGGAUAUACAGUAAGCAGGACAAAGAUCCGAGCUAUCUCUGAAAUAAACGGAGUUGCGGAAUUGAGAAGAAAAGACGCGCGGAAGUUGAGCAAAUUGGAGUUUUAAGCAAAAGGACGAAACUGUGGAAAUCUCAAUUAUGCAAAUUAAGUUUAAUUAGUUGAUUAUACAAUUAAGCUUAAUUGCUUAAUUAAGCUCAAAAACGUGGAGCACAACUUGAGCAAUUAUGCAAACCAGCCAUGUUCUUCAUCUCACGUGGAGCACAACUUGAGCCAAUUAUGGCUUGACACAUCACCAUCAAAUCAUCUCUCCUCUCUGUGUGGAGACCAGCCGAACCACACUCCCUUGAGCUAUAUAUAUUCCUUUUAGAGGAAGAGAAGCGAGCUAGACAGAGAAGACCGCAGCCGCACAGUGAAGAAGGGAAGGGCUUUGCCCUCUCCCACCGAUUCACCUUCUCGUCCUCUUUUCUCAUUUCAUAAUUUAGAUAGAGAUUCUUUGGGAAUUUGAAGGACUCACUCGAGGCUUUCAAGACAUCAUCUUCAAGAGCACCACCUCUUCAAUUGGGUAGUUGGGUGAACGACUUUCUUGGGUUCAUACUAGCUCAUAGCUUGAAGUGACCAAGCUAGCUCUCCCUCUCUCUUCCUUGUUGUCUGUUUCUUUAUCUUAUAUGCUAUUGAUGAUGUAUUUGAUUAUGGAUAG